rnacentral:rRNA from 1 species
UAGGGAAUUGUUCGCAAUGGGCGCAAGCCUGACGACGCAACGCCGCGUGGAGGAUGAAGACCUUCGGGUCGUAAACUCCUUUCGACCGAGAUGAAUACCCACCGACCUAACACGUCGGCGGCAUGACAGUAUCGAGGGAAGAAGCCCCGGCUAACUCUGUGCCAGCAGCCGCGGUAAUACAGGGGGGGCGAGCGUUGUUCGGAAUUACUGGGCGUAAAGGGUUCGUAGGUGGCUAGCUAAGUCAGACGUGAAAUCCCUCAGCUUAACUGGGGAACUGCGUCUGAUACUGGCAAGCUUGAGUGCAGGAGAGGAACGCGGAAUUCCAGGUGUAGCGGUGAAAUGCGUAGAUAUCUGGAGGAACACCGGUGGCGAAGGCGGCGUUCUGGACUGCAACUGACACUGAGGAACGAAAGCCAGGGGAGCAAACGGG